AACGAACGCUGGCGGCGCGUCUUAAACAUGCAAGUCGAACGAUCUGUAGCAAUACAGGGAGUGGCGGACGGGUGAGGAACACGUAGGAAUCUACCUUGAAGAGCGGGACAACUUUGGGAAACCGGGGGCUAAUACCGCAUAGUACAGAGAUGUUAAAGGGCUAGCAAUAGUCGCUUCGAGAUGAGCCUGCGGUCUAUCAGCUUGUUGGUGAGGUAAUGGCUCACCAAGGCUACGACGGAUAGCCGGUCUGAGAGGAUGAUCGGCCACACUGGCACUGAGACACGGGCCAGACUCCUACGGGAGGCAGCAGUUAAGAAUCUUGCGCAAUGGGGGAAACCCUGACGCAGCGACGCCGCGUGAAGGAUGAAGGCUUUCGGGUUGUAAACUUCGGUAGACUGGGAAGAAGAAAUACGUUCGUUGAGGGCGUAUAGUGACGGUACCAGUCUGAAGCCCGGCUAAUUACGUGCCAGCAG
rnacentral:rRNA from 1 species